UCUCGGUCUGUCUGCCCAGUGAUAUUUUAACGGCCGCAGUAUCCUGACUGUGCUAAGGUAGCAUAAUAAUUAGCUUUUUCAUUGAAAGCUCGAAUGAACGACCCGACGAAAAAUCCCCUGUCUCAGCACUUCUGCUAACUUUCUCUUAGAGUCAAAAAGCUCUAUAAAUUUAAAAGGACGACAAGACCCUAUAAAACUUUACCCCUUUACCGCGCCGCUUAAACUCUAACGGAACCUGGGGUUGUACUGGGGCGGUAAUUUAACUAUAAACAUAAAUCACUCCAACGUCCUAAACGAAGUCAACGAACACUAUUCAGUAACUAAGAACAAGUUACUUUAGGGAUAACAGCGCAAUAUCUUCUUAGAGCUCUUAUCGACGAAGAUGCUUACGACCUCGAUGUUGAAUUGAAACCCCUUCUUGGAGCAGCCUCCAGAAAAGGAAGUCUGUUCGACU
rnacentral:rRNA from 1 species